rnacentral:rRNA from 1 species
ACGAAGGGAGCUAGCGUUGUUCGGAAUUACUGGGCGUAAAGGGCGCGUAGGCGGCUUUAUAAGUCAGAUGUGAAAUCCCUGGGCUUAACCUAGGAAUGGCAUUUGAAACUGUAAGGCUAGAGAUCGAGAGAGGAUAGAGGAAUUGCGAGUGUAGAGGUGAAAUUCGUAGAUAUUCGCAAGAACACCGGUGGCGAAGGCGGCUAUCUGGCUCGAUACUGACGCUAAGGCGCGAAAGCGUGGGGAGCAAACAGG